GGGCAGGGGGGGAAUGGGAAGAGGUCUAGUGAGAGAGAGAAAGAGAAGAAACUUUAGAGAGAGAAAGAGACCAAGUAAAGUCCUUGGGGUCAGAGGCAAUUUCUGCGAGGGUUUGUUAUUAGAGUGACACCAGUUGGUCUUUUGGCUUUAUUCAUGGCCUGGUUAUAUGGGGCAUUGUUUUGUAAGGCUGGUUUUCGCUGAAUGGACAUAGGAUGAUCAAACUGAUGAGGGCCAUUUGAGCUUCAAAUAAUAGUGGGGCUGGUUUGGCAUAUGACGAAAGAGAGAGAGAAGAUGAAGAAGAUCUAAGGUUGUUGCAUUUGCAGAUGCUCAUGGGAAGAUAUAUGAAUUACAAGACCCGCUUGAACAUCAGUUUCAAUGUUGGUUGAGGUACAUGUACAUCAGUUUCAAUGUUGGCAGCUUCAGGUACAUGUACAUCAGUUUCAAUGUUGGUUCUCUUUGGUCUUGUGCCCUAUCAAUUCACUUAGCUUGCCAAUUUUCAAGCUGCAUUUUUCUUGACAGCCUUGUGAUGCUGAAAGUGAGCAAGAUUUAUAAAUGACUAAAAAAAGCGGUGUGCUUAAUAUAAUUUGCCUUGUUCAAGCGCAUUCUUCUUGACAACUACAUUUUUCUUGACAAUUGCUUUUUUCUUGCAUAACAAACGGUGUGCUUUAUAUUGAAGCUGUUUUUUUCUUGAUAGCCUUGUUCCCUAUCAAUUCACUUAGUUUGUUUGUUUUUAUAAAUGAGCUGAUCCCCAACAACAUUUAAAUUGUCCUGAAAGUGAGCUAGAUUUUAGGAAUAUCCUUCCAAUUGCUAUUCACAUUUCCCCUGUUAUCAAGUGGGUUCAUUCUUUCUACCUAUCUUGAUUAAUCAAAUGGAAACUUGCUCUCCUUAAUUAAAAGAGUUGAAAAGAAAAGAUACUCAGGUUGGUUAAAUUUCAAGCCAAUUUGGGGUGUGUGUAAGUUUUUUUGUAUUGCCAUGAAUCACCAAUUUGAUUGUCCUAUUCUUUUAUGCCCUUAUUUCUUGGUGUUAUGUUUCUUAGGAACUUGAUUAGAGGAAACUUUUGAGAUGUGGGGCUAGUGUCUCAAAUUCUAAUUGAUUUGGUUUGCCCCUAAAAUAUGUUUUUGUUGUCUUAGAGGUUCAAUUAUGUGGUACUCACUAAGUCGAAUUUCUACCUGUAUCUGAUGGUUUUACUUAUAUUUGAUCACAAGGAUGAGGUAAUUGUGUAUCUUGACUGUGUGUUGAACUCUACUUAUACAGGGUUAAUUUAGCCAUUUUUUCUUUGUUUUGCUUGUCAUGUAGUUCUUUUGGGUUUAUUGAGUUCUCAUCCAGAUGCUAAUCCAUAACUCUCUACUCAGGGUUGGGGCAGGCCCAGUUGAUGAUUUUCAUUUGGUGGGCUUGCCGGACCACUAUAUUGAUCUUUUUAAGCUCUAUGAUCCAGUUGGUGGGGACCACUUCAACAUAUUCGCUAUUGGCCUAAGGACUACCGAUUGAAUCGUAGUUGUUAGCCAUGGAUAUGCGUGGGAAGUGAAAAACCCAAGGAGCUUGGGGUUUGAAUAAAAUAAUGAGUGAAAACGAUUAGAAACGUAGACGGAGGUCAAUGCAAUUGACAUAAAGGAGUGGAAGUUAAUUGUAAUUGGUUUGAGAGUUCAUUGGAGUGAAAGUUCAUUGUAAUUGGAUUAUCCAGUACUUGUAAAAGUUCAAUGCCAUUUUUGUAAUUCGUUUCCUAGACUUUGAGGAAUUGUUACUACAAUUUUUAUUUUACAUGAA